rnacentral:tRNA from 1 species
GCCCUGGUGGCUUAAUGGUUAAGCACUCAGCUGCUAACCGAAAGGCUGGUAGUUCAAACCCACCCAGCAGCU